GACGAACGCUGGCGGCGUGCUUAACACAUGCAAGUCGAACGGAAAGGCCCUGCUUUUGUUGGGUGCUCGAGUGGCGAACGGGUGAGUAACACGUGAGUAACCUGCCCUUGACUUUGGGAUAACUUCAGGAAACUGGGGCUAAUACCGGAUAGGAGCUCCUGCUGCAUGGUGGGGGUUGGAAAGUUUCGGCGGUUGGGGAUGGACUCGCGGCUUAUCAGCUUGUUGGUGGGGUAGUGUCUUACCAAGGCUUUGACGGGUAGCCGGCCUGAGAGGGUGACCGGCCACAUUGGGACUGAGAUACGGCCCAGACUCCUACGGGAGGCAGCAGUGGGGAAUAUUGCACAAUGGGCGGAAGCCUGAUGCAGCAACGCCGCGUGCGGGAUGACGGCCUUCGGGUUGUAAACCGCUUUCGCCUGUGACGAAGCGUGAGUGACGGUAAUGGGUAAAGAAGCACCGGCUAACUACGUG
rnacentral:rRNA from 1 species